rnacentral:rRNA from 1 species
GACGAACGCUGGCGGCGUGCUUAACACAUGCAAGUCGAGCGGUAAGGCCCUUUCGGGGGUACACGAGCGGCGAACGGGUGAGUAACACGUGGGUGACCUGCCCUCAGCUCUGGGAUAAGUCUGGGAAACUGGGUCUAAUACUGGAUAUGACUCCACGGUGCAUGUCGUGGGGUGGAAAGCCUUGUGCGGCUGAGGAUGGGCCCGCGGCCUAUCAGCUUGUUGGUGGGGUGANGGCCUACCAAGGCGACGACGGGUAGCCGGCCUGAGAGGGCGACCGGCCACACUGGGACUGAGACACGGCCCAGACUCCUACGGGAGGCAGCAGUGGGGAAUCUUGCGCAAUGGGCGAAAGCCUGACGCAGCGACGCCGCGUGAGGGAUGAC